CUUUCUUUUCUAGAAACUAGAUCUGAAAACCUAAUGGAGGUGAUGUGAUCUGAGUGGACAGACUGUUUUCUAGAAACUAGAUCUGAAAACCUAAUGGAGGUGAUGUGAUCUGAGUGGACAGACUGUUUUCUCAGAAACUAGAUCUGAAAACCUAAUGGAGGUGAUGUGAUCUGAGUGGACAGACUGUUUUCUAGAAACUAGAUCUGAAAACCUAAUGGAGGUGAUGUGAUCUGAGUGGACAGACUGUUUUCUCCCAAUAGGAACAAAGCUGAAUAACAAUAUAAACACAACAUGUAAAGUGCCGGUUCCAUGUUUCAUGAGCUGAAAUAAAAGAUCUCAGAAAUGUU